rnacentral:rRNA from 1 species
GACGAACGCUGGCGGCGCGCUUAACACAUGCGAGUCGAACGGAAAGGCCUGCUUUCCCUUGUGGAUUGCGGGUACUCGAGUGGCGAACGGGUGAGUAACACGUGAGUGAUCUGCCCCCAACUUGGGUAUAAGCCUGGGAAACUGGGUCUAAUUCCCGAUAGGACUGCAGGGUGGUGCCUGUGGUGGAAAACGAUUUUCUAGUGGUUGGGGAUGAGCUCGCGGCCUAUCAGCUUGUUGGUGGGGUAAUGGCCUACCAAGGCGGCGACGGGUAGCCGGCCUGAGAGGGUGGACGGCCACAUUGGGACUGAGAUACGGCCCAGACUCCUACGGGAGGCAGCAGUGGGGAAGAUUGCACAAUGGGCGGAAGCCUGAUGCAGCGACGCCGCGUGGGGGAUGACGGCCUUCGGGUUGUAAACUCCUUUCGACCGCGAGGAAGCCACCUGGUUGGAAGGGUGGUGACGGUAGUGGUAGAAGAAGCACCGGCUAACUACGUG